AGAAAUGGUAGGUAUGGGACUUCUGACUGAUUGUUCUUAUGGUGCAAGCUGGUACUGCGGUAGUCAAAAUUACUGACUUGUCCUGUAUGCCUGUCUACACACACACACACACACACACACACACACACAAACACCAAGCAGCUUUAUACAUGGCACUUUUAGGAGAGGAAAUGUACACCUCCCUUUGCCCUUACCACUAACGAAAACCCACUUCCUCCCCUGCCCCUCCCAGCUAUCUCCACAAUAAAACAGAGACAGAAAAAGUUGAACCUUCCCGAUUCAGAUGACUGCCACAAGAAUAUCUUUUCACCAGCUCCUGUGAAUUUACUCUCAUAUCAACUGUUUGUCCCAUUCUGAAAGUGACUGCUGAUGACCAGGGGGCCCAGUGGCUGAAGGAAGUUUCCUGUUGGGCAGUGGGAAAGCCGGGUGCUGGGUGUGGGGAUGAGCGAGAUGCUGGAGGCUGAGGGGAGGAGAUGCCACCUGUCCCUUCAGUGAAGCCCCAAGAAGGCAAGUGAAACGUUUUAAAAUCUCUUCCCUUUUUGGCUUUGCAGCUCAGACAAAGGGAUUUGUAUGAAGUUACUCGCACGUGACUUUGCACGAGUCCAGCAGCUUGGGGAGGAAAAACCCCCACGACAAGCAUUCCCAAGGCCUUUAAAAAUAUCACACCCACUUGUAGCUGCACAGAGAUAGAUUUAAGCAGUUUUUCAUAUUCCCUAUGAGAAAUGACCAUCAAGCCUUAGCAGGAAAGCAGAGAGGGAAAGUGGGGGUGUGUUUGUCUGCAGAUAGCAAAAAUAGAAUGACAUUUUGGCAAACUAUUUUUCCAGUCUGCCAUUCUAUACAAUGUAUGACACAGGCAAGAAAUCUGCUGGUGCAUAGAUUUCUGCAGAUUAUGAUCAGCCAGUCUUAAUUCCUCCCAAUAGCUGAUGAUGGACAAUGCGUGACUCGUGAUCUAGCUAACCCUAUUUUCAGAUGUGAGCUCCAUGGUCGCAGAAGUACUUGUGUUGCUCAACAUCGGCUCAGGGAGUGGGAACAAGAUAAACUCAAUGUCUCUUUCAAAGAAUCAGCUUACUAACAGAAAAACUGCAACAGACACGCUCAUUGGAGAUGUAGCCCCGUUUUCUAUUAAGCUGGCUAAAAAUAUGACAACAGCGUUUACUCUAAGUUUCUUCUAAGAACCUCUAGGAUCCAAUGACAAUGUUGUGAUUAUUAAGAAUUAUUUCAAGCCUGUGCUACCUGAGUACCUCAGUCAGGGGCAGUUAUGUGACCACUGCAACCAAAAUAUGGGUAGAUUCUGGAGUGGAAACCUGGGAUAGAAUGGGAAUAGGAACCUCUUCCACUUCCAGAGUGGCUGGCCAACUUCCCCGGAGAACCUGUUCUGGGGCAAGAUACGGAUGGGCUCAGAGAAGUCAGAUACCACAUACCCACAUACCAAUAAUGAGGGGAAGAAAACAAUGCUCAGAAUCUGUCUUGCCCAGUCCUCCCCUUACUUCCUCCUUCUUCUUCAUUCUAUUGGUUUUCACAUUAGAUGCAGCCAUGAAGAUGGUAAAUGACUUCAAGCUGCAACAGCUGACAGGCUGUCUUAAUGGAAAUCAGUGACAAAACUCACACCACUUUCAGAAGAACCAGAACUUCAUCUUUAGUGUAAAAGGUAGAUCACAGAUCAUGUAUACAGUACUGCUUUCACAAGAGUAUGAGGUGAGCAGAACUGUCAUUUUGCUACUGUUUGACACAAGGCUAUUUUGGAGCUACUCAACUAUUCCAUUCAGUUCAAUACAUAGGAUGGCUGUGAGUCAGCUGGAAUCAUUUGCUCCCCAGUACCCUCUAAUAUUAUGCACAUUUGUGUCUCAUGUCAAAGUAGGCCACAUAUAGACAGGAAGAGUUGGCCAAGGAUGAUGGUAAAUAGACAUCUCAGUCCUUACUGAAGCCUCAACAACUGAAAUGUGUUUUCAAAACAAACUUUAUUCUGCUUGAAGACUUAUUACAAUUUUUAAAGCAACUUAAAAACAAGACACAGCUCCAUCAACUCUAUAGCUUUAACAAAAUUUCAAGGAGGCAUGUUUCCUCUGUUGUCUUGUAAAGGCAACUUACAACCCACUUUACCCUCUACCUCCUCAAAGACCAUUUUAAAACAAAGUAAUCUUAAUGUUUUAAAGACAUUUAACAGAACAGAGCUUUAUUUCUAAAAACAAGAAUAAAAAAAAUAGCAGCAUCUUGGGCAGCUAAUGCAAUCUCAUUAGGACAAGUGCAAUAUAUGUUAAUAAUCCCCACAGCCCAGUUGAGUCUUCAACUGCAGUAAAUACAACAUGAUUCUACAUAACAUGUUGUAUUUUGAAACCUUGUCCCAUGGGAGGCAUUUUGCUUUGAGCUGCCCAUUUCUAAAGUGACCCUGAAAAAAAAUAUCAUCAGGAUUCACUUUCCCAACUUAAUACCAUGCAUAGCAAAAGCACUGUGUGAAAAUCGGCAGAAGUAUUCCCCAUUAGAAGCAUCUGAAUGUUUUCCCAAGCGUUAUUAUUUCAUUGCCAAUUACAAGACAAAGCCAUUUCUUCACUACAGAACAGGUGACACCAAAUAGAAAAAAUUGAAGAUUUGGUUUUACAGAUUGCUUGACAAGAUUUCUCAGAUAACUGAACCAUACAGACAAGGUGGUGUUUUUUUUGGUUUUUUUUUUUUGUUUUUGUUUUUUUUUUGUUUUUUUGGUUUUUUUUUGUUU